GUAGUUAGCCGGGGCUUUCUUACAGGGUACCGUCACUUCUUCGUCCCCUGCGACAGAGGUUUACAAUCCGAAAACCUUCUUCCCUCACGCGGCGUUGCUGGGUCAGGCUUGCGCCCAUUGCCCAAUAUUCCCCACUGCUGCCUCCCGUAGGAGUCUGGACCGUGUCUCAGUUCCAGUGUGGCCGAUCAGCCUCUCAGCUCGGCUACCCAUCGUUGACUUGGUGGGCCGUUACCUCACCAACUAUCUAAUGGGACGCGAACCCCUCCCAAAGCGGAUUGCUCCUUUGACCUCAUCCCGAUGCCGGGUCGUGGUCUUAUGCGGUAUUAGCACUUGUUUCCAGGUGUUAUCCCCCUCUUUGGGUCAGAUUGUUCACGCGUUACUCACCCGUUCGCCACUAAGAAUACACUCUCAUUGCUGAUUGUGCAUCCCCGUUGACUUGCAUGUGUUAGGCACGCCGCCAGCGUUCGUCCUGAGCCAGUAGUCUAACUAACCUCGUACGUACGUAGACGGGCGGUCGGCGGAACGACGGCCGACUAG
rnacentral:rRNA from 1 species